AUUGAACGCUGGCGGCAGGCUUAACACAUGCAAGUCGAGCGAGCGGCAGACGGGUGCAUUAUGUCUGAGACAGUGCGUGGUGGAGGGAGAUAACUACUGGACACGGUAGAUAAUAGCGCAUGACCUCAUGUGUCCCGAGAUGGGAGUAGCUAGUGGGUGGGGUAAUGGCCCACCAAGGCGACGAUCCCUAGCUGGUCUGAGAGGAUGACCAGCCACACUGGAACUGAGACACGGUCCAGACUCCUACGGGAGGCAGCAGUGGGGAAUAUUGCACAAUGGGCGAAAGCCUGAUGCAGCCAUGCCGCGUGUGUGAAGAAGGCCUUCGGGUUGUAAAGCACUUUAAGCUAGGAGGCGUUACCAGCAGAAGAAGCACCGGCUAACUCCGUGCCAGCAGCCGCGGUAAUAC
rnacentral:rRNA from 1 species